rnacentral:rRNA from 1 species
GACGAACGCUGGCGGCGUGCUUAACACAUGCAAGUCGAACGGUGAAGGUGGAGCUUGCUCCGCCGGAUCAGUGGCGAACGGGUGAGUAACACGUGGGCAACCUGCCCCAGACUUCGGGAUAACUCCUCGAAAGAGGUGCUAAUACCGGAUACGAACUCCUUGGGCAUCCUUGGAGUUGGAAAGUUUUUCGGUCUGGGAUGGGCCCGCGGCCUAUCAGCUUGUUGGUGAGGUAACGGCUCACCAAGGCGACGACGGGUAGCCGGCCUGAGAGGGCGACCGGCCACACUGGGACUGAGACACGGCCCAGACUCCUACGGGAGGCAGCGGUGGGGAAUAUGGCGCAAUGGGCGAAAGCCUGACGCAGCAACGCCGCGUGAGGGAUGACGGCCUUCGGGUUGUAAACCUCUUUCAGCAGGGAAGAAGCGAAAGUGACGGUACCUGCAGAAGAAGCACCGGCUAACUACGUGCCAGCAGCCGCCGUAA